rnacentral:rRNA from 1 species
GGGUCAGUAGGUUGGUCGUGCCACCGGUACGUACUGGUCUCACUGAUUCCUCCUUCCUGAAGAACCGUAAUGCCAUUAAUUUGGUGUUGCGGGGAAACAGGACUGUUACUUUGAAAAAGUUAGAGUGUUUAAAGCAAGCUAACGCUUGAAUACAUUAGCAUGGAAUAAUGAAAUAGGACGAUCGAUCCUAUUUUGUUGGUUUCUAGGAUUGACGUA